UACAGAGGUCUCAAGCGUUGUUCGGAUUCAUUGGGCGUAAAGGGUGCGUAGGUGGCGCCGUAAGUCGGGUGUGAAAUUUCGGAGCUUAACUCCGAAACUGCAUUCGAUACUGCGGUGCUUGAGGACUGGAGAGGAGACUGGAAUUCAUGGUGUAGCAGUGAAAUGCGUAGAGAUCAUGAGGAAGACCAGUGGCGAAGGCGGGUCUCUGGUCCAAUAUUGACGCUGAGAAACGAAAGUGCGGGGAUCAAACAGG
rnacentral:rRNA from 1 species